rnacentral:rRNA from 1 species
UACGUAGGGCGCAAGCGUUGUCCGGAAUCAUUGGGCGUAAAGAGCUCGUAGGCGGCCUGUUGCGUCCGCUGUGAAAUCCCGGGGCUUAACCCCGGGCGUGCAGUGGAUACGGGCUGGCUGGAGGCAGGCAGGGGAGAACGGAAUUCCCGGUGUAGCGGUGAAAUGCGCAGAUAUCGGGAGGAACCCCGGUGGCGAAGGCGGUUCUCUGGGCAUGUAAUGACGCUGAGGAGCGAAAGCGUGGGGAGCGAACAGG